ACAGCCUCUUCCAUUCUUUUCAGCAUUAUAAUUUUGGUUAAUUUUCAAUUUUAGGUCCUACGUCUCUGCAAUUUGUGUAUGAAUAACAGAAUAAUUUCCCUCUUUUGUUUCGCCUUUCCUGUUCCUGAAUCUAAAUAAAGAUGGCUUUUUAGUAUUAAAAGUGGAAGAAAAUUACAGGUAAUUAUCUUUGACGGUAAAAACGCUGUAAUCAGCGGGCUACAUGAAAAAUUACUCUAAUUAUGGCUGCAUUUAAGAGAAUGGAAAAAAACCUUCUUGUGGAUAAAAACCUUAAAUUGUCCCCAAUGUCUGCUUCAAAUUGGAUGGCACUGCAGCUGGAGGCUUUGUUCAGAAUUGAUCCUGGGGAGCUACGAACCCAAAGUUUCACAGUAGGAAGGGGGAAAAAAGAAAAGAAAACAUUUUUCCUAAUGUAACAAUGCGAAUGCUAGAAAAUGACAAGACUGAUCGGUUUUAAACCAUUCUGAAGACUGACUGAGCGUGGAAGUUGCUCAACAAAAAAAGGAACGGGUAUAUUGUUGCUGAGAUGGAAGGAAAACGCGCUCCUUCGGAAGAGCAUGGGCUUUUCCCAUAUUGCUUCCCUACUGCUGCUGAGCUGCUUGAACACUAGUCCCUGGAUGCCAUCAGUGAGAAGACUUUGCAGCUGGGCUUUUUCUGGAGAAGAAGCUGCAGUUUCUCUCUCUAUUGGCUCUUCAUUCAAGUAAUGGCUGUCAUCAGGAUCAGACAAAAAAGAAACCAGCUGGACACCAGCAUGGAGGACUAACCAACAGGGGCACUGAAAUGUCAACGGGGUUCUAACCUAUCCAUAGAAAUUCAAGGGGUGGAAAAAUGUAUUUCACAGCCCUUCUCGGGGAGUAUUCCAUGUGACACUGGAAGGAAUGGGUUGAUACAUUCCUAAGGUUUAGGAAGUAGGGAGUAAUCAGAACGUAGAGGAAUAGGAGGCUGUUUUACUUCAGCAUUCCUGUUCUUCUGACUGAAAUACAUAAAUUAGGCACUCCAGCUACCUCAUCUGUGACUAGAAGACAGGUUAGUACUCCAGUGGGCUUCCUGCUCAUUUCUUUUUCUCUAGUAAAGAGCAGACAAGGAGAAAACACCAAUUCAUUAGCCUCCAUGUCCUUCCUGUGCACUCUAGAGCUUGAUGGUGCACACAACACCAUAGCCUGUCUUGCCCUUCUAGGAUGUGAGCUCUGAGGGUGUCUUUGUUUACUAGAGGGUGUGGGUCAUUGCUAACAUUGCACUUCAAGUGAAAUGGAAUUUGAACUCUUUGUCUAUAGAUCAGGUGGUCAGAUCCUAUAUUGAAUUAAUUAGGUCGAUGGAAACACUGAGUAGAACUGGAAACUUCAAAACAUAGUUGGCCAAGAGGCAAUAUUGAAGUUAUUUGCAGAGAAAGCUAUCAUGAGACAAGCUUCAAAUAAUGAAAUGUGGAACUUGUGGUCACUUUUUAAUAACUCUACGAACAUGGGCUUCUCAUGCAAUCUCUGCAAAGUCCUGGGGUGCCAUGUGAAGUGCUUGGAGUUGGGAGGGCCUCUGGGAAGAAAAUGUGAAGUGAUUUGGGUCCAGAAAUAAGCAGAGAUGGGACCUAGAACCCAUAUUGCUUCUGUUCUGCAUAGGAAACUGCCCUGUGAAAAGUUCUGGGUUGGAACACUUGAUAACCUGGAUUUGAGUCAUUCUCCUGACACUAACAAGCUUUGUGACUGGGCAAGACACUUCACCUGCCACUUUGAUGUCUCUCAAGAUACUCUACAUCCCUUUUGGCCUUUAAAAUGUCAACAUCAGGCUCCAAACAGUAGCAGGCCAGUUUCACACUUGCUUAUUCUAAGCUGUGAAGUCAGAUGAAUCUUCUCUGACUUGAAUUUUAGUAUUUGUUUUUGUUUGUCUUGUAGGAUAUAAUGAGUCUGCUUUUCACCUUUGGAGUGAAGAAAGUGCUAGCUCUGAGACUCACAGAGGCUUUAUUUCCUCUCUCAUCAUUUCAUUUCCUUCUUUUCUCCCUGUCCUUUGCUUCCUCCUAUUUUUACCAAGCAAACACUAUCUGCCAUGAAUCAGGUAUGUGCUAAGUUUGAGGACACAAAGUAAGCCUAACACUUUCUAGCUUUUUCCUUGUAGGGAAUCAGCUAUGCCCCAGGGAGGUGUGCUGGUGGGACUCCCAGGGGACUUUCUAUAGUCAGGUGCCAGUUCUUCUCAGGCAAUUUCAUACUGCCCUAAGACACACAUCAAAUCAUCAUUCAGGCCCAGGGUCACCAUGAAAAGAGCUCAUUCCAAAUAUAAAGAAGAAAGAAUUUUUCACUUUUUUGGGAUAUGUCUAAAGAGGAAAAAUUCUCAGUACAGUGAGGGCUACUGAUUACCCACCCUUUGCAUCUCAUCCUUGCUCAAGCAGGAAGAUCCUAAGUUUAAAAACAAAACCAGAAAAGUAGUGUUUAACAGACAUCUUUUAUAUACACUGUUCUUCCCAUCUUCUCUGUGCCUGGUGACAUUUAUUUAUUUAUUUAUUUAUUUACAAAAUCUCACUAAGUAGUCCAGACUGUCCUUAAAGUUACUAUGUAGGCAAAACUGGCCUCAAACUCACAGCAAUCCUCCUGCCUCAGCCACCUGAGUACUAGGAUUAUAAGUAUGUGUCAUCAUGCUCAGCUGUGGUGACCUUUUUAUUUUUAUUUAUUUUUAAUUAAAAAAAAUUUUUUUUUUGGUGCUGGAGAACAAACUCAUGACCUCGAGUUUGCCAAGCAGACACAGCUGAAUCCCAAGCUGUGGUGACCUUUUUAAAAAAGGAAAGAAAAAUCACUUUUUAAAAAAGGAAAGGAAAAACAUUUUUCCUUUUCAGAUGAAAAGUUAUUGCCAUGGCCUCCAACUUCAUUAAGCAACUUCUUAUUUUUGCUUCUUCCAUUAUUGGCAAGUCUAACAAAUACAUAUACCUGACUGCAGAAAAUAUAUCUUAGAAUAUAAUUCAAUGUAAUUUCAAAUUUAGCAUGGCAGACAUAAUCUAGUUUGAGAAUUUGAUGCUGAGAAAUAAUUUCAGGUUUUUUUCAAUUUAUGGCUUAAAUUGUAGAAUUAGUUACUUUUGACUCUCAGUGUUACUUUACAGUAGAGUUCAAGGAAUAGAGACACCUCCAGGUAAUGUCUGUGACUCUCCGUGACUGAAAACUUUACUUUUCUCUGUUACCUUUAUUUAUGCAAAUUAACCUUACUCCUACAUGAACUGAUUAGUGUCUCACCUCCCUUUCUUCUCAUUUUCCCUCUAGUGAAUGUAUUAAAAAUGGUAGAAAGUGUGGAGAGUCUUUAAAGAGAAACAAAGGCACUAGGUAACUCACAUACAUGGAAAGUGAUUCUAAAAUAGUUGACAAAAUAUUUAAAUAUUUUAAUACAGUACCCCUACCAUUAAGCAGAAACAAUCAGUAAAUCUGUACAACUCUAAACAUUCUUAACCAAAAGGGCAACAUUUUAUGAAACAUCUUACAUUUCCAAAUAUCUGGAUAUUGGCCAUCGUGCAUGCAAAAUAUACACAUGGUAAACUUGUCUUUCCACUUAUUCUUUGUAUGACCUUGAUAUUUGUAGCUCUGGUCAUUGAUUCUAAAGCAAUUUAUAUUUUUUUUCUCCGUUCUACUUAAGAUAAAACAAAAAACCUUAUUUUUCUAAGCAAUUAAAACUUAUGCUUCAGCUAAGAUGAAAGAAUUAGGAGUUCUAUCUCCUUGUAUAUAAUUGUAUGUUUCAUUCAUCUUGUUUUAAUGAUUGACAGAAAACUGAUAAACUGAGACAUCUCUGAAUUAGGGUUGGGUGUACUGUCUUGGUGGCCCUACUGCUAAUCUGUUUCACUAUUUUGCAGAAUUUCUUACUCUGUAAUGGAAAGGUUUAUUAAAUAUGAGGGGUGCAAAGCUUUCUUAAUACUAAUGAACUUAUUAGCCAAAGUUUAAAUGUUCUUGUUGGUGAAUGCCUGUCUCACUUAACAGGAUCCAAAUUGAAUAAUGAAGAAAAUUAGACUCUGUCGUACCCUCAAGAGAAAUUGUGUGUGAUUUGUGAAUGCUGAGAGAGAAAGGGUCAUAUUUUAGAAAAAAAAGAGUAGAUAAUUUGGGUUACUUAAAAAAAGGAUAAACUCAGGGAAACUCAAUUCCUUUCCAAGAAACAUAGUCAUUCAAGCAGCAAGACUUCUUACUACUGCCCCAGUAAUCUAUAUAUUUGAGCAUCUUAGAAAGUCCUAGUUAUAUGGAAAUAGGUACUAGGUUUCUGUGGUUAAAGUUUACUAACCUUAUUCCUAUAUAUAUGUCUGUGAUGGACAGGGAAAAAUCAGUAACCUUGAAAAGUGAGCGCUGUUCUCCGGAGAAAUUCAAUAGGGAGAUGGUUAGAGUUUGGGAAAUUGCUACAGUUCUUCCCUUCAGCAUAGUACACUGUGACUUUUCCCAGGUCAAUGUGCAUCUUUCUUUCUGGUGCCUGAGUGUUGCACUAAUAGUAGAUUAUCACGAUGCCUUUCUCUUGCCAGCACCUGGGAGCCCUGCAGGGACAAGACAUCUCUCCUCUGGGCUGAACAGGCUGGGAGAACACAGCAGCCGGACCAACUGCCAGACCUGCUCAGAGUCAGAAACAGUGUCUGUGGAGGAGCAAAAUAAGGUGGCAGAAGGAUAUGAGGGAGAAAGGAAUGGGAAUUUUUUCCUGUGGUAAACUGGAAGCAGGAAAACGUGCACUGUGAAAGGAUGAGGGGAGGCAGGAUUCUAAAGCGAAGAAAACAGUGGAAAGAAUGAUUACCUCCAAUGUUUGUUAAAACUAAUUCUGACAUUGCGGGGGAGAAAAGAUGUUAAGGAAAAAGGGACUCAAAGUCUGUGAAGUUUGCAAAACAAAACAAAACAGAAACUUAAAAGCUAAGGUUAUACUCUUCUGUGAAGAGUCUGAGCAAGAACAGUAAGUUUGUGACACCACGGUUUAUACUUUAAGGUUAACUUUCAGUUCCUAUGUGAAAGUGUUUAUACAUAUAGAAUCAUAAGACAUACGUGUCGCUUGGGCCAAGCUUCAUACCUAAAGGAGACAAAGAAGGGUCACCACAUCUCAGGUUAACAACAAUCAGUUGUUGAUAUUUCAUCUGAUUAAAUAAAAAAGAUACCUAGUGUAUUUGAUUGCUUCCAUGGGAAGACUUGAGAAUUGUAAGCCUAAAUUUGAUAAUUGAUUUUGAAAAUUAAGAAAAUAAAUGGAAGCAGAUUUAGCUAUAUGUCAACCAUUUAAAAUCGUAACUCAAACCUUUGGAAACAAGGCUUCAGUAGCUUGCUGAGGGUCAUCUCAUGUGAUUUUUUUCAUGUCCCGUGUGAUGAUAUCUUUGACCUCUGCAAUACAAAAGAUGUAAGAACUCAUGAGGUGGGAAGGCAAGGGAAUAAGAUGGCAGAAGAGGGGGAAACGCUACAAAUUGAGAAGACUGCACAAUUUUUGAGAAAAUGAAAUGAAUUACAGGGCUUGGAGGGUAACAGUAUAAUAAGGAGUGUGAGAUAAUAAGAUAUUUAAAAAGAGGAAAUUACUUUGAGAAAGUGAGGAUGAAUGAUGAAUUACAUGGGAGAUGAUUAAAGAAUUUGGGAAGGCAGAAAGGGGAGGAAGUAUUUGGGGUGGGAAACAAAAUGUGACUAGUGGCUGUAAAAGGGCAAACUUGAACUCUGGCUGGCAUAUCCCCCAACCUUAGGAGAGUGCACACAACUUAGGAAUCAAGGAAAAAAAUGAAAAGAAUUCAUGGUUAACAUGAAAUCAUAAGGACAACAGAAGCAGCAGUAAGUGUCAUUAGUCUUCAGAAAUGAAAGCAUUUCUAGAGAAAUAGUCUAUGUUCUCCAUUCACUUAUGAGUAGGAAAGUCUUCAUCUACCUUUACAAAAGGUUGAUUUAUAAAAUGAAUGCUAUUAAAGGAAGAAAAGCUAAGCAUUAUCGAGGAGGUUGAAGAAAAGACUGCGUCUAGAACAACUGAGAUGGGGGUAUCUGAGCAAAAUUGUUCAGAGCUUUUUAUAUAAAAUUUUGAAGUUUAGCAUUUUAGGAAAGCACUGGAGAUAAUUUAUCCAAACAGAAUGUGGAUAGUGAUGAUUGAAGAGGUUUUUGCCACUGUAAAUAUUUUAGAAUAUAUUAUUCCACAACAUUUUUCUCCCACAAAAAUAUGAGUGAGAUUAAGUAGAAAGCUUCUGGAUUUCACAUUAAGCACUUGGAGGAGAGGAUUUAUAGAAAUGUAAACUUACUCCUAGUAACAGAAAUAACAUUAAAUUUUCAAAAAAUGUUAACAUUUGGAGCAGAUCUAAAUGCAUGUAAAUAUUCUUUUUCCCCUGCUUGUGUUGGUAGGGGAUUCUUUCCACCAGGCAGUUCCAGACCCCCUUUGGCGGGAAGCUGAUAAAGUAAUUUAGCUGGAAAGGCUUAAUGAGAUAAUGAUGCUAAGGCUAGUUAACACCUAAUAAGAACAUAACCACGAGGGAUGAUAUUGUUGCUUAUUAAUUAUAAUGAUGAUGUGGAGGAAAGAGACAAGGUGGUACUCAUUUAGCAGUGUACUCAGGAGUAUGGCUUUUUCCCAAAGGAGAAGUUGCAGUCAGUUAAGUUAGAAGUAAGCUAACACUUAGCAGAGCCAGGAAUUUAUGGCCACUGAGUUAUUCUAGAGACCAGAGAACUGGAGGCAAUGGUGGAGUUGACAUAAAACCUUCCUGAUGGCAGCCAAGGUUGGAGUAGCGAUUGUGGUGCUGGACUCUGUGCAUUCCAGGUCAGGUUUUGGGGGCAGUCUGCUUGAUGAAGAUUCCACAGUGGUCACGUAGGUGCAGAUAGGCAGGUCCCCAGAAUGGGCUGGGUAGACUUCCAGUUCUUUGACUUUCCCUGAGAUGGGUGAGUCAGACUCACAACUCUUCCUUCAGCAUCAGCUCCCCACCCUGGUGAGAAAGCCCCCAAAAAUCCUCUGGCUCUGCUUGCAGAGGCAUAGCUCUAGCCAUUAUGUGAUGUGUAGGGUGAAGGGGUUUUGGUGUUAGUCACAGGUCCCACUUCACUACCGUUCACCUAGGAGGGUGCAUUGUUGUAGCUGCUCAUUACAGAUACACUCAUAUCCCUUCGUCAGGUGGGCUAGUGUAGAGUGAGUGGGAAAGACAUGAAGGUUUUGCAAAUCUUAUGAUUCCUCAAGGAAGCCUGGAAUCUUGAAACACCGAAACCAGCCUGGGGCCCAAUAAGGGGCACCUUAUUCCCUGGUUUUUGCAGCCUAGCUGCUGAUUCCUUCUUUCUAGGUUUUUUUUUUUUCCUAUGUUACUUGUGCAAUGAUAGGUUUUCUUUUCCUUUGCUAUUUGGUGGGAGGAUAUUUUGGGAUAGGUUUUAGCUAUGUCACACAGGCUGGCCAGGACCUCCAGUCCCCCUGCCUCAGUCUCCUACACUGAAAGUGCAGGCAUGUGCCACCAUGCCAGCUUUUACCACACCUUCCAGCGCUACUAAUUUCAUUAACUGGCUGAGAGUCAUCUCAUGUGAUAUUUUUCGUGUCCUGUGUGAUGGUAUCUUUGACCUCUGUAAUACAAAAGAUAUAAUAUUCACAUCAUGAACUUUUUAAAGCAUGUAUGUUUUAUUUUUACUAAAUAUAUGGGUUAAAAGAGGCAAAAACUAGAAAGGGCCAGACUUGAGGACAAAAGAUAAAGCUGCAGUUUGGACCUUUAGACCUGUUAUUUUUGGGCAAUUCUUUUGCUCUUCUGAGCCUCUUUUUCUCCAUUUAUAAAAUGAGGGGUGAUUGAGGACAGUUCUGUAUGGUUUUAAAGCUAUAUUCAGCUUUAAAAUUAUAUAUCUCCAUAUGUUUUUAAGGUAUCUAUGUCUAUCUUUUAUAUAAAAAGUUGAUAAUCUUGUGGUAACAAAUAUUGGUUAAAUUCAUGAUUUGGAAUGGACGUUAAAGUCAGUGUUACCAAAGAAUCAAUGGCAGAACUAUUUUUUAAUAACUACAUGGCAGCCAUACACCAGCCUUAAAGGUAAAUGUUUUACAGAGGAGGAAAUGAGGCUUUCUAAAGAUUAAAAAAAUUGCUCAAGUCUGCCAUGGAAGUGUGCAUCUGUAAUCCUGGCUACUGCGGAGGCUGAGAUAGGAUGAUAAGAAGUUCAAGGCCAGCCUGGGAAAAUUAUUGAGAUUCUUCCUCAAAAUAUAAUUGUAAAAAGGGUUGCAGCUCUAGCUUAAUGGUAGAAUAUUUGCCUAUCAUACACAAGGCUCUGGGUUCCAUCCCUAGUACUACAAAAAUAAAAUUAAUCAUUCAAGACCAUAUAGUUGAUAAAAAGUGAACUCAGCAUUCAAACCAUAGUCUCCCUGAAACUGAGGUUUUUGACUUUAAUCACUACUGUGCAUAUCUCUCAUGUUUAGAACUCAGUGCAUAUUUCCUAUAACUUAUGGCAUGAGUCAUAUUGAUUUUCUAGGGUAGGAGGAAGGAGCAAGGGAAAAAGUAAUUUGAAGAAUCUCCAACUUGAUUCUGGCACACACAUCUCUCUGCUUCUAUAUUUUUCUACCCACCCAUGCUCUUUGACCCAUCUCUUGGCCACAGUCAUGCCUUGAGGUGGUGGUGGUGGCACUGGGGACUGAACCCAGGACCUUUAUACUGAGCUACAUAACCUCAGCCCUUUUAAAUUUUGAGAUAGGAUAUUGCUAAAUCACUUAAGUUUUCCAAGCUUGGCUUAAUGUUGUUAGAAUACGGGGAUUAUAGGACUAGACGACCAUCACAUUCAGCUUAGACUCAUAUUUGACUCUUCUGAUUAUUUGACUCAUGAUUACAAAGGAAGCACCUUGCUUGUGAUUGAGCUUGGUGACACAUACUUUUAAUACUAGCACUCUGAGAUGCCAAGGCAAAA